UGCAAUGAGUCCGCCACAUUGAAUUUCCCAGAAUUCUUCAAUUCUGCUUGGAUUUCUUGAUGUGGGGCUAGGACAGACUUAGAAAGUAGAUGACUGAAUUGAAACACAGGUUGAUCGCACACCCCAUAAUAUUUCCACUACUGGCCACCACUUCCCACCAAGAAAUGUUCUUGCCAGAAGAGCCAGACGUCCAGCCUCCAGAGGUGACAACUCUCGUUUUCUGCGUAACGACAGGCAGGUGUUCCAGAUGACACUGACGGCUACCAAUCAGGUGAGCUCUUCAGGGAAUCACCCAGCGAGAUCACUUGGUCCAACAGGUCCCACCAGCAUUACGCUACUGUGGCUGAAACAGAAAGGAGAGGAAUCCAGACCUGGAAGACAGCACUGAAGCUGGGGCUUUGCUACAAGCAACAUAUUUUCUUAACGCCUGCCACAAUUUCCCCAUUUUUGUCUGCUCCUGGAUUUCCCAAGGUUGUGUUCCAGCUGCCCACUGGCUUACAACACUUGCAUUCUCUGUGUUGAACCAGCGUCAUGCUGGCUGCUGCCUGUGCCCUACCCUUCAGAUACCGUCUUCCGGUUGCCUGCUCAUCACGCCAGCUGGGUCUGCCUCCAAUUCCACGAUGUAUCUAGGUCUGGUCUCCGCUUCUUCCAGUCUACCUCACCCUUAUUACAGUUAAUCCUUUUACAUUAAACGAAAGCAGAUAUUC